AGUGAACGCUGGCGGUAGGCCUAACACAUGCAAGUCGAACGGCAGCACAGUAAGAGCUUGCUCUUACGGGUGGCGAGUGGCGGACGGGUGAGGAAUACAUCGGAAUCUACUUUUUCGUGGGGGAUAACGUAGGGAAACUUACGCUAAUACCGCAUACGACCUACGGGUGAAAGCAGGGGAUCUUCGGACCUUUCGCGAUUGAAUGAGCCGAUGUCGGAUUAGCUAGUUGGCGGGGUAAAGGCCCACCAAGGCGACGAUCCGUAGCUGGUCUGAGAGGAUGAUCAGCCACACUGGAACUGAGCCACGGUCCAGACUCCUACGGGAGGCAGCAGUGGGGAAUAUUGGACAAUGGGCGCAAGCCUGAUCCAGCCAUACCGCGUGGGUGAAGAAGGCCUUCGGGUUGUAAAGCCCUUUUGUUGGGAAAGAAAAGCAGCAGGUUAAUACCCCGCUGUUCUGACGGUACCCAAAGAAUAAGCACCGGCUAACUUCGUG
rnacentral:rRNA from 1 species